rnacentral:lncRNA from 1 species
AGUAGGAAAGUGCUUACAUGAAGGAGGAUUCCUAAUCGACGAAGGAUUCCUAAUCGACGAAGGAUUCCUAAUCGACGAAGGAUUCCUAAUCAACGAAGGAUUCCUAAUUGAAGAUGGAUUCCUAGAAGAACAAGGAUUCCUACUCCAACAAGGAUUCCUACUUGAAGUAGGAAAGUUAAGCCAAGGUUUCCUACUUUGGUUUGAUUUUUCCUAAUUGUCCCUAAAAGUUUCAGCAAUUAUGAAGACUUUCUAAGCAUUCUAGGACACAAAACAAAAGCCUAGAACCCUUUUGAACCCUUGCCGCACCCCCCUUUGCAUUUCCUCUUCCCUAUUUCCUGUUUUGAUGCUUUAAAACACGUUCCUUUUGUGUUUUAAACCCUAGCCGAAUUUCCCUUGCCCUUUCCCUUAAUUUUCUGAUUUGUUUCCUUAAUUCUAGAAGCUUUAAACUUAAUUCCUGAUUACCUAAUUAGCCUAGGGUUUUUAAUUUCCUAAUCCCUUUAAAUAAACAUGUUUGUGCAGCCACAAACAUAGCCAUUCAUCAAGAAAAUAAUCCUUCACGCCAGAAACCAUUCUCCAUCUUCAACAGCACCUAUCCUUCACCAUUCACCAUAUUUUCUGACCAAAAACCACCCUAGCCGUCCCAUACACCUAUCCCAGCCAUAAACCCAUCGUUCUACACCAUUCAUAACCCCCAAAACUCACCCAUUCGUGUGCAGCAGCAAGGAGAAAGAAGGAAGGACUCUUGGAUGCUUAAGCUUCAUCGUUGGUGCAUUCUAGGUGUAAUUCGUUUUAUGAUUUCAAUGUUUAAUUUCUUUUCCUUUCGUUUUGCUACGAACAUGAGUGGCUAAACCCCUAUUGGUUAGGGGUAAUUUCAAAGCCAUGACUAUGUAUGCAAGUUGAUUUGAUAAAUUCCAGUUAUGAGUUCUUGAAUCGUGAAUGCAAUUGGCUUAACUGUGCGAGUAAUAACUUAUUUGUGUUUGUUAAUUAGGGGUCGAUACUUAAUUGGCUUGCAUGAAUAUGUUGCUAGAAUAUAAGGUUGUUUCACAUAAUCGUCACACACUUAUAUUCAUAUGUAGUGAAGGUCGCUAGUCACGAUCGCGUUAAGUCCAAUUCCUAGCAUGAGUGACAUGAUGUCAUAGUUGCAAGUGCUUUGUCAAUGCUUAUAGUUUUCAUUGAACGUAAUGAUCUUUGAUUGUAUCUUUAUUAUGAUGUCAUGUAGGGAACUUUUGAGGAAUGCUUUGGGUUGUCGGAUGAUGUCAUCCAAUCCAAUAACACAAGGAAAACUUGAGAAUUAACUAGUGAUGUCACGGUUAAUUUGGGGCAUUGUCAUUCAUAAUUCAACGAAGGAAUAACUGGAAAUUGAGUCGUUUGCAUACUUGUCAUGUGUGGAGAAAGAGCCCCUAACUAGUUCAUCAUCCAUUUAAAACCCCAAAAACGUUUUCAAAAUCUGUUUUACUUUGCAACCUGUUUUAUCAAAUUUAUUUUCGUCCAAAUCAAAUCCUCAUUUACUUUGAAGUCUCAAUUUAGUUAGAAAGUGUUUUGGUUUAUGUUUUUAAGUAUUUUGAGUCAAGUUUUCACCCAAUUUCGUCCAAAUUAGUGUAGGUGCUCAAAACUGCCCAGAAAGUGGUUUUUAGGCAGUUUUGAGUCUUCUAGUUGCUGUUUUGAGUUUUUGUUUUGUUUUAGUGUUUUAAACUUUAGUUUUUCAUUCUUUGAGUCCAAAUUAGUGUUUUAAACUUUGUUUUUAAGUUUUUAAAUCAGUUUUCAAGUGUUUAGCAAUCCCUCCUAAUCCCCGGUCUAGAACGAUCCCUACUUACAUACUUUGCUACAAUUGUCAAAAGAGGGUUUAAUUUGUGUGCUUAAUAUAUUUCGCAUCAGACAUCAUAAUAGAGAUAUGAUCAAAGAUCAUUACGUUCAAUGAAAACCAUAAGCAAUGACAAAGCACUUGCAACUAUGACAUCAUGUCACUCAUGCUAGGAAUUGAACUUAACGCGAUUGUGACUAGCAACCUUCACUACAUAUGAAUAUAAGUUUGCAACGAUUAUGUGAAACAUCCUUAUACUCUAGCAUCAUAUUUAUGCAUGCCAAUUAAGUGUCGACCCCUAAUUAACAAACACAAAUACGUUAUUAAUCAAAUAGUUAAGCGAAUUGCAUUCACGAUUCAAGACCUCAUAAUUGGAAUUUAUCAAAUCAAAUUGCACACAUAGUCAUGGCUUUGAAAUCACCCUUAACCAAUAGGGGUUUAGCCACUCAUGUUCAUAGCAAAACAAAAGGAAAAGAAAUUACACAAUGAAAUCAUAAAACAAAUUACACCUAGAAUGCACCAACAAUGAAGCUUGAACAUCCAAGGAUCCUUCCUUCUUCUUUCUUGCUGCGGCACACAAGUGGGUGAGUGUAUGGAUUGGGUUUUGGGGGUUAUGGAUGGUGUAGAAGGGUGGAAUGGUGUUUAGGAUGGAUGUAUGGUGCGGCUAGGAGUAUUUUUGGGCAGAAACUAUGGAGAAUGGUGAAGGAUGGACGCGUCUAGGAGUGGUGGCUGGUUUCUGGCGUGAAUGGGAUUGAUUGGGGACGUUUGUGGCUGCCAAAAAGAAGUUUAUUUAAAGGGAUUUCAGGAAUUAAAACCCUAGGUUAUUUAGGUAAACAGAAAUUAAGUCAAAAGCUUCUAGAAAUAGGAAAUCAAAUCAGAAACUUAAGGGAAAGUAGGCUAAAGGGUGCGGCACUAACUUAAAAUAGAUUAGGAAAGUGUUUAAAAGCAAGGAAACAGGAAAUAACUCUCUCCCUUGCACAGCAAGGAAGAGGAAUGGGCAAGGUGUGCGGCAAGGAUGUGGACCAUGCAAGGAAUGUGUAAUUUGUGUCCUAGAAUGCUUAAAAGGCCUUCAAAGUUGUUGGAACAUAAGGACAAUUAGGAUUUAGGAAAUGCCAAACCAAGAUAGGAAACCUUGGCUUAACUUUCCUACUCCAAGUAGGAAUCCUUGUUGGAAUAGGAAUCCUUGUUCUUCUAGAAAUCCUCUUGUGAUUAGGAAUCCAUCUUCAAUUAGGAAUCCUUUGUCAUGUAAGCACUUUCCUACUUCAAUUAGGAAACCUUGUUCAAGUAGGAAUCAUCAUCUUCAAGUCUUCAAAUUCGUCCAAACCCUUGGCUCCAAAUAUGUGACAUUCAUUCCAAGCUCCAUUUUGCUCCAAAAGGCUCCAAAAUGCAUCUUUUUAUAUGCUUUGCCCUUAAAACCUGAAAACACAUAAAACUAGCUUAAAAGACUACUUUAACUAAGAAAACACCAUGGAAAUGCAUAAGAACUAGCUAACUAAGGCGCAUAAAUAUGCUCCUAUCAAUCCACCAUACCCAUUACAUCCACCAAACAUUCAUCCACCACACCCAUUACAUCCACUCAUUACCACAACACUCAUCACUACCACCUUAAUUAGAUGGUGGUCCUCUCCCUAGACUAUAAAUACAUCCACCCUUCACCAUAACAAAGGGGAUAAGACAAUCCACCCAUCCACCACAAAAAUUUACCACUCAUCUAUCAAACCACACUUUGUGCCGCAACAAAGAGAAGGGUGAGGACGCUUGGACGUGCUUGCCAUUCAAGUUGGAUUGUUGGAGCGUUUUUAGGUGUUUUCAUUCUUUUGUUUUCAAUGUCUAAAUUUGUUUAUCUUUGCUUUGUGAGCAUGGGGAACUAAACCCCCCUUAGCUAGGGGGGAAUUCGAAACCAUGUUCAUGCUUGCAAUAUGAUUUGAUUACUUUCAGUUGUGAUUCAUAUGUUGUGAAUUCAAUUUACUUAUCCAUUUGAAUUAAAACUGAUUUGUGUAUGUUGGUUGAGAGUGCACGCUUAAUUUUCAUGCAUAAAUCUGAUGCGAGGAUAUAAGGGAGUUUCACUUAAUCGUUAUGAACUUAUAUUCACAAGUAGUAAAGGUUGCUCGUCACAACCGUGUUAAGUAAAUUCUUGGCAUAAGUUUCAUGCAAUUCAUAGUUACAAGUGUUUCGUCAAUGCUUAUGAUUUUCAUAGAACUUAAUGAUUUUUGCUUGUAUCUCUAUUAUGCAAUUCAUGUAGGGAACUUGUGGGGAAUGCUUUGGGUUGUUGUAUGCAAUCAUCCAAUUCAAUGAAAUUAGGAAAAUGUGAGGGUUAAUUAGUGCAAUUCACAGUUAAUCUGGGGCGUU